GGCCGCGGGAAUUCGAUUCAGGCCUAACACAUGCAAGUCGUACGAGAGUUUUUAACUCUAGUGGCGGACGGGUGAGUAACACGUGAGAAUUUGCCUUUAGGAGGGGGAUAACAAUUGGAAACGAAUGCUAAUACCCCAUAUGCUUCCGAGUGAAAUGGAUUUUAUCCGCCUAGAGAGAAGCUCGCGGCUGAUUAGCUUGUUGGCAAGGUAAGAGCUUACCAAGGCGACGAUCAGUAUCUGGUUUGAGAGGACGAUCAGACACACUGGAACUGAGACACGGUCCAGACUCCUACGGGAGGCAGCAGUGGGGAAUUUUCCGCAAUGGGCGAAGGCCUGACGGAGCAAUACCGCGUGAGGGAAGAAUGCCUAUGGGUUGUAAACCUCUUUUUUCAGGGAGGAAUAAUAUGAC
rnacentral:rRNA from 1 species